ACUACGGGCGGCAGCAGUGGGGGAUAUUGCACAAUGGGGGGAACCCUGAUGCAGCGACGCCGCGUGGGUGAAGGAGUGCUUCGGCAUGUAAAGCCCUAUCGGCAGGGAAGAAGCAAGACGGUACCUGACUAAGAAGCCCCGGCUAACUACGUGCCAGCAGCCGCGGUAAUACGUAGGGGGCGAGCGUUACCCGGAUUCACGGGGUGUAAAGGGAGCGUAGACGGCCAUGCAAGCCAGGGGGGAAAGCCCGGGGCCCACCCCCGGGACUGCCCUUGGAACGGCAUGGCUGGAGGGCGGGAGGGGCAGGCGGAAUUCCUGGUGUAGCGGUGAAAUGCGUAGAUAUCAGGAGGAACACCGGCGGCGAAGGCGGCCUGCUGGACCGCGACUGACGUUGAGGCUCGAAAGCGUGGGGAGCGAACAGGAUUAGAUACCCCAGUAGUC
rnacentral:rRNA from 1 species